rnacentral:ncRNA from 1 species
UGACCUCGGAUCAGGUAGGAAUACCCGCUGAACUUAAGCAUAUCAAUAAGCGGAGGAAAAGAAACCAACAGGGAUUGCCCCAGUAACGGCGAGUGAAGCGGCAACAGCUCAAAUUUGAAAUCUGGCCCCAGGCCCGAGUUGUAAUUUGCAGAGGAUGCUUUUGGCGCGGUGCCUUCCGAGUUCCCUGGAACGGGACGCCAUAGAGGGUGAGAGCCCCGUACGGUUGGACACCAAGCCUUUGUAAAGCUCCUUCGACGAGUCGAGUAGUUUGGGAAUGCUGCUCAAAAUGGGAGGUAUAUUUCUUCUAAAGCUAAAUAUAGGCCAGAGACCGAUAGCGCACAAGUAGAGUGAUCGAAAGAUGAAAAGCACUUUGAAAAGAGGGUUAAACAGCACGUGAAAUUGUUAAAAGGGAAGCGCUUGUGACCAGACUUGCGUCCGGUGAAUCACCCAGCUCUCGCGGCUGGGGCACUUCGCCGGCACAGGCCAGCAUCAGCUUGCCGUCGGGGACAAAAGCUUCAGGAACGUAGCUCUCUUCGGGGAGUGUUAUAGCCUGUUGCAUAAUACCCUUCGGCGGGCUGAGGUACGCGCUCCGCAAGGAUGCUGGCGUAAUGGUCAUCAGCGACCCGUCUUGAAACACGGACCAAGGAGUCAACCUUAUGUGCGAGUGUUUGGGUGUUAAACCCCUACGCGUAAUGAAAGUGAACGCAGGUGAGAGCUUCGGCGCAUCAUCGACCGAUCCUGAUGUUCUCGGAUGGAUUUGAGUAAGAGCAUAUAGGGUUGGACCCGAAAGAAGGUGAACUAUGCGUGUGUAGGGUGAAGCCAGAGGAAACUCUGGUGGAGGCUCGCAGCGGUUCUGACGUGCAAAUCGAUCGUCAAACAUGCGCAUGGGGGCGAAAGACUAAUCGAACCUUCUAGUAGCUGGUUUCCGCCGAAGUUUCCCUCAGGAUAGCAGUGUUGAACUCAGUUUUAUGAGGUAAAGCGAAUGAUUAGGGACUCGGGGGCGCUAUAUUGCCUUCAUCCAUUCUCAAACUUUAAAUAUGUAAGAAGCCCUUGUUGCUUAAUUGAACGUGGGCAUUCGAAUGUAUCAACACUAGUGGGCCAUUUUUGGUAAGCAGAACUGGCGAUGCGGGAUGAACCGAACGCGAGGUUAAGGGGCCAGAGUAGUCGCUCAUCAGACACCACAAAAGGDGUUAGUACAUCUUSAMAGCAGGACGGUGGGCAUGGGWGUGUGGAAA